rnacentral:rRNA from 1 species
CGGCAUGCCUAAGACAUGCAAGUCGAACGAAGUGGCCCAAUGAAGGGAGCGAGCUUGCUCAAUCUCGGACUUGGAUUCCCACUUAGUGGCUCAAGGGUGAGUAACACGUGGGUAAUCUGCCUUCGAGUCUGGAAUAACAGUUAGAAAUGAUUGCUAAUGCCGGAUAACAUGGAGAACGAUACGUCAUUCUUUAUUAAAAGGGGCCUUUAAAGCCUCGCUUGAAGAUGAGCCUGCGCCGUAUUAGCUAGUUGGUGGGGUAAAGGCCUACCAAGGCAACGAUGCGUAGCCGACCUGAGAGGGUGAUCGGCCACACUGGGACUGAGACACGGCCCAGACUCCUACGGGAGACAGCAGUUAGGAAUAUUCGUCAAUGGGGGAAACCCUGAACGAGCAAUGCCGCGUGAAAGGAUGACGGUCCUAUGGAUUGUAAACUUCUGUUGUUAGGGAAGAACGACCUGUAUAGGAAAUGAUACAGGAGUGACGGUACCUUUCAAGAAAGCUCCGGCUAACUACGUGCCAGCCGCCGC